AAGGAAUUGGCCAAAUGCUGUACGAAUUGUUAUGCUCCAAACUGUGAUUACAGGCAAAGCACAGGAGGCAUAUGCAGCUCUUCCGAUGGAGGACCGGCGAGAUUAUGAUAAGGUAAAAGUGACCAUUCUAAAGGCUUAUGAGUUAGUUCCUGAAGCAUACCGCCAGCGUUUUAGGAACUGGAGGAAAGGUGAACGCCAAACACAUUCUGAGGUGGUAAGAGAACUUGUUUCACAUUUUGAUCGUUGGUGCACUGCUUCAGAUGUGGAUAACUUUGAGAGUUUACGUGAUCUUAUUAUUUUAGAACAGUUUAAGAACAUUGUGCCUGACUAUAUUGCCACAUAUAUAAAUGAAAAGAAGCCAAAUGAUGCGGUUGAAGCUGCAGUUCUAGCAGAUGAUUACAUUUUGACUCAUAAAACUGCAUACAGAGAUGACAGAUCAGUGCGUCACUACAGUAAUUUUGCUGAAAAUAGAGUUGCAUCAAGGAAAUUUGAGCCAACUUUUUCUUCAAAAUUUGAGAGAAAUGGUCGUGGGAAACCUGACCGAGAUUUGGUAUGCAAUUAUUGUUUCAACAAUGGACAUUGGAAAAAUAAGUGUCCUGUUUUGGCCGCAAAGUUGAAAUCUAGUCAAAAGAAGUCUCAUGCUAAUGUUAGUCCUGUGUUAAUGACUGAGACUACAAAAGUCAAUAAUUUGCAAUCAGAUGCCUCUAUGGAUGAGAAUACAGUGUGCCACUUAAAAACUGAAAAUCACUUUGCACCUUUUAUUACACAGGGUUUUGUUUCUUUGACCAAGUCAGAAGAGAAAGUCCCGGUUAAGAUCUUAAGAGAUACAGGAUCUUCUGAAUCCUUUAUUCUUCAGUCUGUCUUGCCUUUUUCUGAAGUAUCAAGUGAAGGCAGGGAUGUUUUGAUCAAAGGGAUUGGUUUAAACACUCUUUCUGUUCCUCUGCACAGAGUAAAUUUGACUUCGGAGUUGGUCUGUGGAGAAGUAACCCUGGGAGUCCGUCCAUCAUUGCCGGUGGAUGGUGUCAUGGUAAUACUCGGGAAUAAUUUAGCUGGAGGUAGGGUAUGGCGAGAGGUAAUUCCACCACCUGUGGUAGUGCCCACUCCAUUAACUGAGAAAUCUGAUGCAUUAAAGCAGAAGUUCCCUGAGGUAUUUACAUCAUGUGUGGUAACGCGUUCUAAGAGUCGUGAGGCUUUUUGUGAAGAAAAAGUGUCAAAGUAUGCACUGUCUGGUUUGUCUACUCUUUCUCCUAUUUCCAAUAGGGAGUUGAUAACGGCCCAACAAAAUGAUCCUGGGUUGCAGAAGUUGUUUGAGGAUGUUAUUUCAUCAGAAGAGGUGAGAAGUGCUGUCAGUGGAUAUUUUGUCCAAGAUGAGCUACUUUUGAGGAAAUAUGUUCCUUGUAAAAAAGGUUUGAUUGGUGAGGCUAUAAUUCAAGUGGUGGUACCAAAACCGUUCCGUGAAAUGGUAAUGAAGGUUGCGCAUGGGGAAGUAGCAGGUCAUUUAGGAGUAAAGAAAACUUAUGACAGAGUUUUGCGACAAUUCUAUUGGCCAUGUUUGAAAAAGGAUAUCUCAGCCUUCAUUAAAACGUGCCAUACAUGUCAGUUAACAGGCAAACCGAAUCAAUCUUUGAAACCAGUGCCUCUAUCGCCUAUAGUUGUUACAAGUAAACCUUUUGAACAUCUAAUAAUUGACUGUGUAGGUCCAUUGCCUACUUCUAAAUCAGGCAAUGUAUAUUUGCUGACUGUAAUGUGUCAGGCAACUCGGUAUCCGGCAGCUUACCCUAUUCGAAAAAUUACAACCAAAGCAGUUGUGAAAGCUCUAACUCAGUUCAUUUCUGUGUUUGGGAUACCCAAGAUUAUUCAGAGUGACAAAGGGUCAAAUUUCACUUCACGUAUGUUUGAUGAGAUUUUGAGAGUGCUUAAGGUGAGACAUAAUCAAUCAAGCGCAUAUCACCCUCAAAGUCAAGGUGCUCUUGAACGAUUUCACCAAACCUUGAAAGCAUUGUUACGUAGUUACUGUGUGGAGUUGAACCGUGACUGGGAGGAAGGGUUACCCUGGUUAUUACUCACAGCUAGAGAAGUACAACAAGAAAGCUUGGGUUUUAGUCCAAAUGAUCUAGUUUUUGGUCACAGUGUACGAGGUCCUCUCUCUGUUUUGCGGGAAGGACUGUGUGAAGAUGAUCCUCCACAGAAUUUGUUAGAAUACGUGAAUGGUUUUCGUAGACGUUUAUUUUUGGCUGGUUUAAGUGCGCAGAAAAAUCUUGUCGGAGCGCAGAGUACAAUGAAGAAGUACUAUGAUAAGCAUGUAGAAUCUCGUGUUUUUGCACCAGGUGAUAAAGUGCUAGUUUUGUUGCCUUCAUCUGGAUCUCCUUUUUGUGCACGAUUUACUGGUCCAUAUAAAGUUCUGCGAAAAAUGACUGACCAAAACUAUCAAAUUGAAACUCCAGAUCGACGAAAAGCAAAGCAAUGUUUUCAUGUGAAUUUACUUAAGCCUUAUCAUUCUCGUCAUUCUGAAAGUCAACCAGUUAGUCCAGUUGUUACUGUUUCUAGUACCUCUCUUGAUCAUGUUCAAUCUCUUUUUGUAGAGGGAGGGGAGGAUGUGAUGGUCCCUGGAGACUGCGUUUUGCUUCCCCGGUUAAAGAAUUCAGAGACUCUUCAAAAUUUGGAUGCUUUGUUUUUGCAUUUAUCAGAUAUACAGAGGUCAGAGUUGACAAAGUUAGUGUUUGAUUUUCCUAGUCUAUUUGCAGAUGUUCCAACUCGUACGCAUCUUAUCCAGCAUGAUGUGGAUGUGGGAGAUGCCCGUCCUAUUCGACAGCGUUUCUACAGGGUUCCUAUGAGUAAGCGGAAAGUGUUGGAAUCAGAAGUUCAGUAUAUGCUGGAGAAUGAGAUCGCUGUUCCUUCCUGUUCCAGUUGGGCUUCACCAUGUUUGCUGGUGAAAAAGCCAGAUUCUACUUACAGAUUUUGUACUGACUACCGUAAAUUAAACGCUAUUACUAAACCUGAUGCGUUUCCACUUCCUCGAAUGGAGGACUGUGUAGAUCAGGUGGGGACUGCACAUUUUGUAAGUAAACUGGACCUUCUAAAAGGAUAUUGGCAAGUGCCUUUAACUCCUAGAGCUCAGGAAAUAACUUCAUUUAUUACGCCAUCUGGAUUAUAUUCGUACUCCGUGAUGAGUUUUGGCCUGCGAAAUGCACCCGCAACCUUCCAGAGAUUGAUGAAUAGAGUGGUAUUUGGUCUGGAAGGUUGUGCGGUGUAUUUAGAUGAUGUUAUUGUUUUCAGUGACACAUGGGAACAACAUUUGGUACGCCUUCGUGCACUUUUGACUCGUUUGGCAGAGGCGCAUCUUACUGUCAACUUGGCAAAGUGUGAGUUUGCCAAGGCGACCGUAAGAUAUUUGGGUAAAGAAGUUGGCCAAGGUGAGGUACGUCCUAUUCAAGCCAAAAUUGUGGCUAUUCAAAAUUUCCCUCCCCCAUCAAACAAGAAGGAGCUGAUGCGUUUUCUGGGGAUGGUGGGGUAUUAUCGAGGAUUUUGCCCAAAUUUUUCAACGGUGGUUGCCCCACUAACUGAUUUACUUAAGAAUUCCAUCAAAUUUGUUUGGAGUGUGAAUUGUCAGAAAGCUUUUGACAAUGUUAAGCUAUUGUUAACCACUGCUCCUGUUCUAGCUGCCCCUAGGCUGGAUGAACCUUUCAAAAUACAGGUAGAUGCAAGCCAGGUUGGUGCUGGGGCUGUUCUGUUACAAACAGGCGAGACUGGACUUGAACAUCCUGUAAGUUUUUUUUCUCGUAAGUUUAAUACUUACCAAAAAAACUAUUCGGUAAUCGAGAAAGAAGCCUUAUCUUUAAUUUGGGCUCUUCAGCACUUUGACGUAUAUGUGGGGGGAGGACUACCAGUGGAGGUUUAUUCUGAUCAUAACCCCUUAACAUUUUUACAUUCCCUACAGUCCCCGAGUCAGCGGUUGAUGCGCUGGAUUCUCUUUUUACAGCCUUACAGCUUAACUGUAAAACACAUUAAGGGUUCUGAUAACGUAGUGGCAGAUGCGUUAUCUCGUGUUCCUGAUCAAACUGAAUGAGUUUAAUGUUUGGCCAGUCGUAUCUGUUUUUCUGUUUCCUUUUUCUCCUUAAUUUGCUUUCAGGAUCCAGAUUGCUGGGGGUAAGGGGACAAGGAGAAUUGAGAUGGCUGUAAGAACAUACUAUUACUGGUGGAUCGGAUGCUAUAGAAAUAAAAUAAAAGGAAGUGAUUGACAGAUUGGAUGACGUAGCAUCGCACCUGCACUAAAUCAGCGCUCUUUAAAAGCGGUCCGUGUGAACUGAUGAGGGAGUGAGACGAGACUUGUGCUUGCUGGAGUGGUUUGCCCGUCAUGUGACUGCCGGUGUGUCUCGAGUGAUAUGGAGUUUGCGGGAGACCGCAGCCGCAUUCGAGGAGUUCUCGUUAUGAUCCGCCUCACCGAGAACGGCUUUUGGACAUUAAUCUUCUGUUGGUUUUGUUGACUUUAAUUGUUUACACUUGUAUCACUUACACGCACCUGCUGACACGCUGACAAUUCAUCUACACUGACUACUAUACAUUUCAUGUUUACGUUCUUUAGUUUAAUAAAUUGCUUUGCAAAUUUA